rnacentral:lncRNA from 1 species
UAAUCGGAUUAGGGUUACGUCGAGAGUCUUAGUCCACUGUUGGCAAGAUUUAGAACCCAAUAGGUCACACACAAUAAAAAUUUGAUCUUGGUCCAAUCUAUUUAGAUUUAUUGUAAAUUCAAUGAGUUAAUUAAAUUGCUGGCACAUGAAUUAAUCCAAGUUUCCAAUUGGGUUCAGUGCAAAGGUGUUUGUGCUAACCCUUUGCUUGUUGCCUUCACCUAAUGUGAUUGGGUUUGAACCAUCUAUUUAUUAGUUGAUUUAUCUAGAUUUUAAGAAAGAGUUUCAUGUGAAUCCACCUCCUC